GCAGGACUCCUUGUAGGUUCCGGAAUCAGGAUGCCGUCGUCUUGGGGUGGUUAUUCAGCUGGCAGUAGAGGGUGGGGCUGGUGAGCUCUCGGACAGGUGCCUGUCUCUGUCUGCCCGUGCCCCGAGGGGCCCGCGCAGGCCUGCGUGGGCAGCGGCUGCCUAGCGGAGGGCUGAGCUCUGGACACGUCCAUUCGGAGGGGUUGCGUCUUCCUGACCAGGAGGGACCCUGUGACUGGAGGAAGCAGGACAGGGUGAUGACACAGUGGCCGAGGCUCACUCUGCUGCUGGACCACGUGCUUGUGCUCUCACGGGCGUCAGUCAUCUCCCAGCUUUAAUUUCUAAUACGAUACAGCAAAGCCAAGGUAGCAAGGAGCCCAUCUCCUGGGAGCAGCUGACGGAGGGACAUUCCACAGCUGAACUUGAACUUCAGCGGGUGCGUGAACCAAGCAUGUCAACUUCUCCAAGUGCCUCAGCCAAGGGGCUGAAAGCAAAAGGCGGAGACCAUGCCGGUGAAAGGUGACGAGGCCUGGUGCCCUCCAAAGAAAUGCACUUGAGAGCCUGCCCCAAACCCAGGAAGAAGGCCCCAGGCCUCCUCGACCUUCACUGUCUGCAAUAACCUUGCACUUCAGGGAGCUGAACGGGCCUGGUGCCAGGAGCUAAUUGGGAGCAACCGCUGGCCCCACAUGAGGACUUUAUAAGCAACUCUAGGCUUAUGAAAACCAAAAGCAUGUUUUUGCUCCAGUAGCGUUUGCUGGGAUCCAGAAACAGUCACACCAAGAGACUAAGAGAUGGACUCUCUGGAGGGCUGCAUUCGGGGUGACCGGAGGCUGGCUUGGCCUUGGUUUCCCAGGACUCUUGAAUUCGGUGCUGAAAGUCCUGCAUCCUGGAAACCCUCUCAGUCUGGUCACACCCCUGGGCCUGGCGGCUGGGAUCUCAGGA
rnacentral:lncRNA from 1 species